rnacentral:rRNA from 1 species
AUCGUUGGGCUUCGGCCCAUUCGAGAUAAUACCCUUGCCUUUUUGAGUACCUUUUCGUUUCCUCGGCAGGCUCGCCUGCCAACGGGGACCCUUCAAAACGCCUUGUAAUACCUGUAAUUGUCUGAUAUAACAAGCAAAAAUUAAAACUUUCAACAACGGAUCUCUUGGUUCUGGCAUCGAUGAAGAACGCAGCGAAAUGCGAUAAGUAGUGUGAAUUGCAGAAUUCAGUGAAUCAUCGAAUCUUUGAACGCACAUUGCGCCCUUUGGUAUUCCUUAGGGCAUGCCUGUUCGAGCGUCAUUUAAACCUUCAAGCUCAGCUUGGUGAUGGGUGACUGUCCCCCCCUUCGCGGGGGGACUCGCCUCAAAAACAUUGGCGGCCGGUACAUUGGCUUCGAGCGCAGCAGAAACGCGGUCUCGAGCCCGGUGGAUCGUCUCCCAUAAGCUCCUUCUUUAUUUUGACCUCGGAUCAGGUAGGGAUACCCGCUGAACUUAAGCAUAUCAAUAAGCGGAGGAAAAGAAACCAACAGGGAUUGCCCUAGUAACGGCGAGUGAAGCGGCAAUAGCUCAAAUUUGAAAUCUGGCCCUUUCAGGGUCCGAGUUGUAAUUUGUAGAGGGUGCUUUGGCGUUGGCUGUGGUCUAAGUUCCUUGGAACAGGACGUCGCAGAGGGUGAGAAUCCCGUAUGUGGCCGCCAGUCUUCGCCGUGUAAAGCCCCUUCGACGAGUCGAGUUGUUUGGGAAUGCAGCUCUAAAUGGGAGGUAAAUUUCUUCUAAAGCUAAAUAUUGGCCAGAGACCGAUAGCGCACAAGUAGAGUGAUCGAAAGAUGAAAAGCACUUUGGAAAGAGAGUCAAAAAGCACGUGAAAUUGUUGAAAGGGAAGCGCUUGCAGCCAGACUUGCCUGUAGUUGCUCAUCCGGGCUUUUGCCCGGUGCACUCUUCUAUGGGCAGGCCAGCAUCAGUCCCAGCGGUUGGAUAAAUGCCUGUUGAAUGUACCUCUCUUCGGGGAGGACUUAUAG